AUGACCUCAAAUCAGAUGAGACUACCCGCUGAACUUAAGCAUAUCGAGAGGGCAAUAAUCC
rnacentral:rRNA from 1 species